GACGUAGGGGGCCAGCGUUGUUCGGAAUUACUGGGUGUAAAGGGUUCGUAGGCGGUGUAGCAAGUCGGGAGUGAAAUCUCUGGGCUUAACCCAGAGGCUGCUUCCGAAACUGCUGUGCUUGAGUGUGGGAGAGGCGCGUGGAAUUGCAGGUGUAGCGGUGAAAUGCGUAGAUAUCUGCAGGAACACCCGUGGCGAAAGCGGCGCGCUGGACCACUACUGACGCUGAGGAGCGAAAGCGUGGGGAGCGAACAGG
rnacentral:rRNA from 1 species